GUUUCCUUCCAGCCUGAAAUGAGCACCAGAUUCCUAAUCUGGGGGUCGCGCGUUCGAAUCGCGCCGGGAUCACCA
rnacentral:tRNA from 2 species